rnacentral:tRNA from 1 species
AGCUCAGUUGGAUAGAGCAUCCGCCUUCUAAGCGGAUGGUCACAGGUUCAAGCCCUGUC